rnacentral:rRNA from 1 species
AACGAACGCUGGCGGCAGGCUUAACACAUGCAAGUCGAGCGCCCCGCAAGGGGAGCGGCAGACGGGUGAGUAACGCGUGGGAAUCUACCCAAUACUACGGAAUAGCUCCGGGAAACUGGAAUUAAUACCGUAUGUGCCCUACGGGGGAAAGAUUUAUCGGUAUUGGAUGAGCCCGCGUUGGAUUAGCUAGUUGGUGGGGUAAUGGCCUACCAAGGCGACGAUCCAUAGCUGGUCUGAGAGGAUGAUCAGCCACACUGGGACUGAGACACGGCCCAGACUCCUACGGGAGGCAGCAGUGGGGAAUAUCGGACAAUGGGCGAAAGCCUGAUCCAGCCAUGCCGCGUGAGUGAUGAAGGCCUUAGGGUUGUAAAGCUCUUUUAGUGGGGAAGAUAAUGACGGUACCCACAGAAAAAGCCCCGGCUAACUUCGUGCCAGCAGCCGCCGUAA